CCUCCAGCGUACUCCCAGUAUUCGGUGAACUGUUGCGCUGUUAGCUUUAUAUCAUUAGGGCGCAAUAUUUUCCAAUAGUUUUCUUCGACACAAAGAAACCGUUUGGUGCACAUAUUCACCAUCAUCAUGCCUGCGAUCUACAAAUCGGUCCUCACCAAUGAAGCAAAUAAAAUUACCUACACACCUUGUGCAUCACUCGCCGUCCGCAUUACCACUCUGUUAUUGGUGAUUGUGCUGGUGAUAUUAAUAGGAAUUUUGUGUUUCCUUCUAUGGCCUCGUUCAAAUGAAACAGUGGACUGUCCCUUGGAAUGUCCCCGGAACGCCCUUUGGAAUGCCCCUCAGUUAUCGUACAAGAUAAAACAAGUAUGAGCAUCGCGUUCCUCAGACACAGGGAGGAUAUGUUUUUGGUAGCCCCAGGAAGAAAAGGCAUCCCAUUCAGCGCAGUGUUCAACGAAAGUGACGCUGAUGCGGGUUCUUCGCCGAUUGAUUCGAUCGUGAUGCAAAUUGCAAACCAUGAAUUUCGGAAUAGUCAGUACUCUGAUGUUUUCGGUUAUGUUUCAGUUCACGGUCAAGGGAAAAUCGUACCGGCCGACACCGAGAAAUGGAUGUGGGACGAUUUAGAGGUCAGUAAGUUUGUUGUGAAAGUAUCUUACGUUGGGGGCCUAUUCGUGUUGGAUACGCAUGGAGUGGUUGGAGUUCAAUCAGACAGUGGUCCCGAGGGUACCGAUAAACUGUUCGAUACUCUGAGGGAGGUGCAGAAAAUUUUGCCGGAUACGUCGAAGCCUUCAGAAGAACGGGACUAGUUUGAUCAAGUAUAUUAUUAAUUAUACUCACGGAAAAAUUUAUCCAAAAACAUUUUAGAGAAAUCAAUCCAUGAAAAACUAUUAUCAACACUUGAACAAAAAAUAUUGAGAUUUGAGGUAAUUACAACAAAGAAGUCACUUCUCCUUUGUGUGAAAUGUUUUCAUAAAUUGGAAAAUCAAUCUGCAACAUAAAUUAGACUCGCCUCAAUGAUAAACUCAACCGAUAAGCAAUCGUCAAACGGAUUACUCUGGCACUCAGUAAUAUGAAGGGCUUAUACACAGUUCAGCAAUCGCGCCAACGAAGCAAAUGGAUAAUUCUACUGCUCCUACUGGUGGUUUUGUUCCUAAUAACGACUACAAUCGUCCUAUGGCUCUAUCCGGUUUGUCAAUUUCCUGAUCCCCGAGCGACGACGGAAGCCUACGCUAGUACAAGUAACGACAAUGAGUCAAUCGAAACUGCAGUCCCGGCGCCGGAAUCGAAAGGAAAGUUGAAUGGAUGUUAAUAGUUAGGUGUGUAAAUAUAUUAUUUUUUAAAUUUAUGUGUUAUAGAAAAAUCCACUGAAAAUUACGCUGAAAAUAAUGCACAUAAAUGGAACGCCAUUUUUAGCUCCACACUGGAUAUAGCCUAAAUGUAUACAAUAUUUGACGUGAAU